UGGGGAAUUUUGGACAAUGGGCGAAAGCCUGAUCCAGCAAUGCCGCGUGUGUGAAGAAGGCCUUCGGGUUGUAAAGCACUUUUGUCCGGAAAGAAAUCCUUGGCUCUAAUACAGUCGGGGGAUGACGGUACCGGAAGAAUAAGCACCGGCUAACUACGUGCCAGCAGCCGCGGUAAUACGUAGGGUGCAAGCGUUAAUCGGAAUUACUGGGCGUAAAGCGUGCGCAGGCGGUUUGCUAAGACCGAUGUGAAAUCCCCGGGCUCAACCUGGGAACUGCAUUGGUGACUGGCAGGCUAGAGUAUGGCAGAGGGGGGUAGAAUUCCACGUGUAGCAGUGAAAUGCGUAGAGAUGUGGAGGAAUACCGAUGGCGAAGGCAGCCCCCUGGGCCAAUACUGACGCUCAUGCACGAAAGCGUGGGGAGCAAACAGGAUUAGAUACCCUGGUAGUCCACGCCCUAAACGAUGUCAACUAGUUGUUGGGGAUUCAUUUCCUUAGUAACGUAGCUAACGCGUGAAGUUGACCGCCUGGGGAGUACGGUCACAAGAUUAAAACUCAAAGGAAUUGACGGGGUCAUAGCUGUUUCCU
rnacentral:rRNA from 1 species